rnacentral:rRNA from 1 species
GACGAACGCUGGCGGCAUGCCUAACACAUGCAAGUCGAACGGAGAUUAUUUCGGUAAUCUUAGUGGCGAACGGGUGAGUAACGCGUAGGCAACCUGCCCUUUAGUUGGGGACAACAUUCCGAAAGGGGUGCUAAUACCGAAUGUGACAGUUUUUCCGCAUGGGAUUACUGUGAAAGAUGGCCUCUAUUUAUAAGCUAUCGCUAAAGGAUGGGCCUGCGUCUGAUUAGCUAGUUGGUGGGGUAACGGCCUACCAAGGCGACGAUCAGUAGCCGGUCUGAGAGGAUGAACGGCCACAUUGGAACUGAGACACGGUCCAGACUCCUACGGGAGGCAGCAGUGGGGAAUCUUCCGCAAUGGGCGAAAGCCUGACGGAGCAACGCCGCGUGAGUGAAGAAGGCC